ACCAAUCAUUUGAAAAAUAUAAUUUCCAGCACACAGAUAAACUUAUAGUUCAAGAAUGAAAUCUAACAUCAUGUUCUUCAUAGUUGUGCUUAUUUCAUUUAGAGAAUGCCAUUCUUGGUGCACAGCGGAGCCUGUUUCAGAAAAUUCUCUUGUGUGUAGCUAUGAAGGUAACGUCAUACAAAAAGGUGGGAGCAGAACCUUUAACAAGCCCAAGUGUGUAAAGUGCAGCUGUUCUCAAACAACGCUUUCGUGCUGUUCAAUAGGCAUUGAAAUAACAAGUGUGGGGCCAGAAUGUAAAAUUGUUCAGGAUGGUUGUACUCAACGAGCAGUUUUGAAGUCGGAUAGCAAUAAAAAAUGCUCUUCGGUUACUGCAGUUGGCAGGUAAACCAGUUUGACACUGAUUCGUAUUGGUAGAAGUGUUGUGGUAUUUUGAAAUUAAAGCCAUGUUCCAGACCGUAUGACACUUUUAACAUGAAAUAAAUAUACAUAAGUUUAUAUUAAAGAAAAGAUUGUAUUGUU